UUCAUACAGGGCCGUGGCAGCAGCUCCUUGUCUCUGCUGGGCAGAACCAGCCUCCACCCUACAUGUGAACAGGCUUAAACUGUGCAGACACACAGUCACCUCCAUGCCUCUGGCCUCUUCUCCUUCCUUUACUGCAAGGAGCCAGCCCCCUCCUGGAUCGUGAGCACGGAGAGAAAAAGGGCAUCAGCAAAUACAAGCCGAGCUGGGGGAGGAGAUGGGAGCGACCUAUGGCCCUUGCGGCCUGCUGCAUUUCAAAGGUGUGAUAGGGAGAAUACAAAUACACCUACCAGCAAGGGAGAGCCUGAAACGAUUAUCUUGCAUCCAGAUGCCAGCAAGGUCAUGAAUUUGUAUUAGAAGCAGGAAGAGGAGAUC